rnacentral:rRNA from 1 species
GACGAACGCUGGCGGCGUGCCUAAUACAUGCAAGUUGAGCGCUGAAGGUUGGUACUUGUACCAACUGGAUGAGCAGCGAACGGGUGAGCAACGCGUGGGGAAUCUGCCUUUGAGCGGGGGACAACAUUUGGAAACGAAUGCUAAUACCGCAUAAAAACUUUAAACACAAGUUUUAAGUUUGAAAGAUGCAAUUGCAUCACUCAAAGAUGAUCCCGCGUUGUAUUAGCUAGUUGGUGAGGUAAAGGCUCACCAAGGCGAUGAUACAUAGCCGACCUGAGAGGGUGAUCGGCCACAUUGGGACUGAGACACGGCCCAAACUCCUACGGGAGGCAGCAGUAGGGAAUCUUCGGCAAUGGACGAAAGUCUGACCGAGCAACGCCGCGUGAGUGAAGAAGGUUUUCGGAUCGUAAAACUCUGUUGGUAGAGAAGAACGUUGGUGAGAGUGGAAAGCUCAUCAAGUGACGGUAACUACCCAGAAAGGGACGGCUAACUACGUG